GACGAACGCUGGCGGCGUGCCUAACACAUGCAAGUCGAGCGAAUGAAGUUCCUUCGGGAAUGGAUUUAGCGGCGGACGGGUGAGUAACACGUGGGCAACCUGCCUCAUAGAGGGGAAUAGCCUUCCGAAAGGGAGAUUAAUACCGCAUAAGAUUGUAGUACCGCAUGGUACAGCAAUUAAAGGAGCAAUCCGCUAUGAGAUGGGCCCCGCGGCGCAUUAGCUAGUUGGUGAGGUAACGGCUCACCAAGGCGACGAUGCGUAGCCGACCUGAGAGGGUGAUCGGCCACAUUGGGACUGAGACACGGCCCAGACUCCUACGGGAGGCAGCAGUGGGGAAUAUUGCACAAUGGGGGAAACCCUGAUGCAGCAACGCCGCGUGAGUGAUGACGGCCUUGGUGUAAAGC
rnacentral:rRNA from 1 species